UUUGUGGAAUAUAUGUUUUGGAAUAUAUUACCCCAGUGAAGAAAGGGAUGCGUCUAAAGGUUGAAGUGAGAGAACUAAACUCCCAGGAUUUAACAUCAAGCUGACAAAAGGAGGAAUAAAGAUUCUCUUCCAGUUCAUCCCCACUGUCAACUUGAUGGAAUUCUUCCCAUUGGUGGGAUUUUGGAAUUUGCAAAUUUGCAAACAGUCGAACAACAAAACUGUUUUUAGAGACUGAUGAACCUUUUUUGUUUGUUCAUUUCCAAUUGUAUGUUUUCAUGUGUAUUAUUUUUUGGAAAGGUGGAUAUUGUAUCCUAUUACUGAAGUUGUGAAUUUUGGGUUAGUGAACCGAAUGUAUUUUUAAUUUGAACCAUCGUAAUACUGUGACAUCAUAAUACUGGAACAAUUGGUCUCAGGUUCGGCAAGGAGCAAUAACUGUAAACCCUAAUAAUUUAAAAUUAAAAAAAUAAAUAGGAAUAUGUGUAUAUAUAAUACAUCCAUCCAUAGGGUGUAUCAUUUAUCUACCAUAAACUGUCAUGCUCAAAAGUGAAAUAAAUUGUUAAACAUUGACAUUUAUUUGGAAAAUAAAUAAAAAAAGAUUUAUUUUUAUCUUUUAUUCAA